CCCAGACAUCCGGUUUUAUCAGCACUGACCCGGGAAGCACGUUUUAGGGUGUGGGAGCGCAUUUUCACAUGAAAAUCUUGCAAACAGAUUUGGCAUACGAGUCUUACUGUUAUUACUACCUGUGCUAACAGAUGUAGCACACACACAUUAUGUGCUCGUUACGAGCAGCAACUGAGCGGUUCCCGACCAGGAGGCGCUCUAGAUAUGCACCUCAGAUGCAGACCCGCUGCAGGCGAGGCGGGGACGCCUCGGGCCGAGCCGAUUUUAACCUCCAGCUCGAUACCGCCUGGUCUGGGGCCGGACCUGGGGUCAGACGGGUACCGCCCCACACCACCGCGAGCACGACGCUGAACUAAGGUGAACUGAACCGAAGCGACGGCUCCGCACAUGCGCAGCGCGAAGGGCGGGUGAGUCAGCGGCGGCUAGUGGCCGUCGUGCCCGCCUGGCGGCCCGAGGUCCCUUCGCACAUCCGGGUGCUCUAGGACCGCCCACCGCCGGCCUCCCGGCUACCGUCGCUGCUCGGGGCCAGCGGGGGCUCCGCCGCAGCCGCGCCGGGCCCCUCCGAUGCGAAUCGCCGCCCGCUCGCCGGCCGCUGGCAUACGGCGGCGGCGAGCGGUCGGGCUCCGCGCGCGGUCCCCGCCAUGAUGCCAGCCCUGGCCGCACAGCGGCGGGGCUGCCACGGCCUCUACCGCCUGUACCUGCGCUGCCGGGCGGCGCCGCUCCCCCGCGCCUGCCACGGAUGGAAAGCUCCAGUGAAAAGUGGGGGUCUGUCUUGUUUUCUACCAUGCCAUCGUCUGCCUGUGCAGUUGAUGAGUCAAGUGAGAGUUUAUACCUCCAGUGGUCAAAAAAAAGAUCUUGGAUCAGAAGAUACAAAAGGGUCAAUCCCUGAAGAAAACCUGCAUAAAGCUGGAACAGGACAAGAUAAGACCAAUGCAGGCCAGAAGCAGUCUGUCCUUAAAGAGCCAAUCCAAGUAAAAGGCAUGUCCAUUCACCAUCGCAGACCUAACGUGGCUAAGCUGAAUACUUGAUCUUCUUCUGUUCCUUCUUAUUGCUAAGUUAAUCUAAUCAGUGUUGCUUCUAAAUAUAUUUUGACCACAUGAACUGUCUAAUCUGAGUCCUGUAAUGUUCCCAUUUAUGUCUGUAGUAAUGUAGUGAGUUGGCCUGGCUGGAUGCCUGGUGCCCACCGAAUCUGCUCUAUCACUCCCGUUCUUCAACUACGCACAGGAGAGAUAAUCUAAUGAAAAAGGCCUGUGGGUCAAGAUCAGGACAGCAAUUACUGCCACAGUCAAAACAGACUUGACUUGGGGAAAAUUAGUUUUAUUUAUAACCAAUCAAAUCAGAGUAGGGUAAUGAGAAACAAACAAAUAAAUCUUAAAACACCUUCCCUUCUUCCUGGACUUAAAUUUGAACCCAGUUUUCUCUACCUCCUCCCAUUGUUGGGGAACAGUAGUUGUCAGUUCUCUUGUGCUCCUUCCUCCUCAGGGGAGGACUUCUCACACUCUUCUGCUCCAGUGUUGGGAACAGGUAAAGGCAUGUCUCUCAUGGCAGAUAGUUCUCCAUGAGCUUCUCCAACGUGGGCCCUUCUCAUAGGAUGCCAUUCUUCACAAACUUCUUCAGUGCAAGUCCCUUCCGUGGGGUGCAGUCCUUCAGCAGCAGACUGCUUCAGCAUGGGUCCCAUGGGGGAUCACGAGUGC
rnacentral:lncRNA from 1 species